GCGAUUGUAGUUCAGCGGUAGAACGUCGGCUUCCCAAGUCGAAUGUCGCGAGUUCAAAUCUCGUCAAUCGCUCCA
rnacentral:tRNA from 1 species